GAUGAACGCUGGCGGCGUGCCUAAUACAUGCAAGUCGAGCGAACAGACGCGGAGCUUGUUCCUCUGACGUUAGCGGCGGACGGGUGAGUAACACGUGGAUACCCUACCUAUCAGUCUGGGAUAACUUCGGGACACGGGAGCUAAUCCCGGAUAAUAUCUUGAACCGCAUGGUUCAAUAGUGAAAGACGGCUUUGCUGUCUCUUAUAGAUGGAUCCGCGCUGGAUUAGCUGGUUGGUAAGGUAACGGGUUACCAAGGGAACGAUGCGUAGCAGACCUGAGAGGGUGAUCGGCCGCACGGGAACGGAGACACGGUCCAGACUCCUACGGGAGGCAGCAGUAGGGAAUCUGCCGCAAUGGGCGAAAGCCUGACGGAGCAGCGCCGCGUGAGUGAUGAAGGUCUUCGGAUCGUAAAACUCGGUUAUUAGGGAAGAACAAAUGUGUAAGGAACUAAGCACGUCUUGACGGUACCUAAUCAGAAAGCCACGGCUAACUACGUG
rnacentral:rRNA from 1 species